rnacentral:rRNA from 1 species
UAUGUGAUCGUCUCUCGCAUAUCAAUAAGCGGAGGAAAAGAAACUAACAAGGAUUCCCUUAGUAACGGCGAGUGAAGCGGGAAGAGCUCAAAUUUGAAAUCUUCAAGGUUUUACCUUGACGAAUUGUAGUUUAAAGAAGUGUUUUCUGUUGAAGUUUUGGUAAAAGUUCUUUGGAAUAGGACAUCAUAGAGGGUGAGAAUCCCGUAUUUGACCAUUAUUUUCAGCUGUGUGAUACACUUUCAAAGAGUCGGAUUGUUUGGGAAUGCAGUCCAAAAUGGGUGGUAAAUUUCAUCUAAAGCUAAAUAUUGGCGAGAGACCGAUAGCGAACAAGUACCGUGAGGGAAAGAUGAAAAGAACUUUGAAAAGAGAGUUAUACAGUACGUGAAAUUGUCAAAAGGGAAGCGUUUGACACCAGUGUUGUUUUCUCGAAAAUCAAUUAAAAAGAGUUAGAUUUUGUUGUGUAUUGACCUUAACAGCUUGCAUUUCAAUUUUCUUGCUUCUUUUAAUGCACUUUUCGUUUAACAAGUCAACAUCAGUUUCUUUUGUUGUAAAAAGGUCAUUGGAAGGUGGCUUUCUUUUCGGAGAAAGUGUUUAUAGCCUUUGACUCCUGCAAUCGGAGAGACUGAGGUCUGCAGCGUAGAUCCUUCGGGGUUAGAUACAUUUGUGCUAAGUUAUAGCUUUUUAUAGACAACUUGUUGACUAUGAUUAGUCUUGUAGCUUACUCGCUUAUGCUAUUUUACCUACGCUUAGGAUGUUGAAGAUGUAGCACAUCAU